rnacentral:lncRNA from 1 species
CCGUUCCACGGGAUUAGCAAAACUGCCUCCCCGCUGACAGAACUGAGAAUUUCUAGAGGCAUUUGUUUGUAUGGGAUUUGCUGUUAUUAUCUACCCUCUUCAUUGGCCUUGCCUUUAUUAUCUGUACGUUUUGAUCAAGAGGAGCAGCAAGAGAAGAAUGCCAACAGACAAGCACAAAGAAACGCAUCUGGCCGGAGCCUGCAUGUAUCUAAAUUUCCAGGUUGCUGCUGCCCUCAGAAUAGCACUGAUGAUGGCAAAGUUCUAGAGGAAACUUUCAUAUUGAAGAGGCUAUAAAAAUCUCUAUAGCCUCCAACUCCACAGAGAAGCCGCUAAUCUAUUUCUUCCAAAGCAAAGCCUUCUUGAGUCUGAAUCACAACAAAAGAUUGCCCAUAGGAAAUGUAAUCUCCGAAGUUGUUUUCUAAUCCCAAGGCAAGCAGAAGCGCAGGAAGGUGCGGCCGAUUCCUCGCCGGUUUCCUUUUUUUGGGAAUUCGGAUUGCAUUCGUGCAAGCAAGGGACUGCAAUUGUGUCUUGGGUCCACACCACAAAACCGUGUCGGUGACUAUGAAAGGCUUAUAUUUCCAACAGAGUUCCACAGAUGAAGAAAUAACAUUUGUAUUUCA